UACGUAGGGGGCAAGCGUUGUCCGGAUUUAUUGGGCGUAAAGAGCGUGUAGGCGGCCAGGUAGGUCGGUUGUGAAAACUGGAGGCUCAACCUUCAGAGGUCGACCGAAACCAUCUGGCUAGAGUCCGGGAGAGGAGAGUGGAAUUUACGGUGUAGCGGUGAAAUGCGUAGAUAUCGUAAGGAAGACCAGUGGCGAAGGCGGGUCUCUGGACAGUUCCUGACGCUGAGGCACGAAGGUCAGGGGAGCAAACGGG
rnacentral:rRNA from 1 species